CUGAUGGAGGUGGGUACACCACCAAGGUGUUGGGUGCAGCCUCACAGUGUUGGGUACAGGCUGACAGAGGUGUGCACACCCUGACAGUGCAGGGUACACCCUGAUGGAGGUGUGCACACCCUCCUGGUGUUGGGUACAAGCUGACAAAGGUGAGUACAGGCUGACAGUGUUGGGUACAGGCUGACAGAGGUGGGUACACCCUCCCAGUGCUGGGUACACCCUGACAGCGUGGGGUACGCCCUCCUGGUGUUGGGUACACCCUGAUGGUGUUGGGUACAGGCUGUGUUGGCUACACCCUGACAGCGCAGGGUACCCCCUCCCGGUGCUGGGAACCCCCUGACAAAGGUGGGUACAGGCUGAUGGAGGUGGGUACACCCUCCUGGUGUUGGGUACAGGCUGACAGUGUGGGGUACACCCUGACAGUGCUGGGUACACCCUGAUGGAGGUGGGUACACCCUGACGGUGUUGGGUACAGGCUGACAGAGGUGUGCACACCCUGACAGUGCAGGGUACACCCUCCUGGUGUUGGGUACACCCUGACAGUGCGGGGUACACCGUCCUGGUGCUGGGUACAACCUGAUGGAGGUGGGUACACCCUGAUGGUGUUGGGUACACCCUGACAAAGGUGGGUACACUCUGAUGGAGAUGGGUACAGCCUCAAGGUGUUGGGUGCAGCCUCACAGUGCUGGGUACACCCUGACAGUGCAGGGUACACCCUGAUGGAGGUGUGCACACCCUCCCGGUGUUGGGUGCAACCUGACGGCAUUGGGUACAGGCUGACGAAGGUGGGUACACCCUGAUGGAGGUGGGUGCACCACCAAGGUGUUGGGUGCAGCCUCACAGUGCUGGGUACAGGCUGACAGGGGUGGGUACACCCUCCUGGUGUUGGGUACAGUCUCACGGUGCUGGGUACACCCUGACAAAGGUGGGUACACCCUGAUGGAGGUGGGUACAGCCUCAAGGUGUUGGGUACAGCCUCACAGUGCUGGGUACACCCUGAUGGAGGUGUGCACACCCUGACAGUGCGGGGUACACCCUCCUGGUGCUGGGUACAACCUGAUGGAGGUGGGUACACUGUCAAGGUGUUGGGUACAGCCUCACAGUGCUGGGUACACCCUCCUGGUGUUGGGUACAAGCUGACAAAGGUGAGUACAGGCUGACGGUGUUGGGUACACCCUCCUGGUGUUGGGUACACCCUGACAGCGCGGGGUACACCGUCCUGGUGCUGGGUACAACCUGAUGGAGGUGGGUACACCCUCCUGGUGUUGGGUACAAGCUGACAAAGGUGAGUACAGGCUGAUGGAGGUGGGUACACCACCAAGGUGUUGGGUGCAGCCUCACAGUGUUGGGUACAGGCUGACAGAGGUGUGCACACCCUGACAGUGCAGGGU
rnacentral:lncRNA from 1 species